rnacentral:lncRNA from 1 species
UCCAUCUUGAUCUCAAAGAGCAAAAGGUCUGAAAUCGAUGCUAUCACUAUGGAAUGUAGAUUGUAAUAAUGCUCAGGAUAAAAGAACUUGCUUUACAUAAAACUUGUUAUGCUGAUGCUAUUUUCCAACUUGAAAUACGAUGGCACGUGAAGUUAACACUAUGAAGCUCUGGAUCACUCUAAGAUCACUUCCAUCUGCUCUUCAAAGGCUGUGAUGUACAAGCUAGAUUCAUUUUUUCAUUAAAAGCAUUAGACGUGCCCAACUUGCAGUUGAACCUAAAAUUUUUGAAUGCUUACCCAUUUCUUUUGGUGCAAGAUAGGGGAAAAAUUUUAAGUAUACAUUCUCUGUGAAAUCCAAUAUAAUUAUAGCACAAAAGAGACUAUUCCAUCGCUUGGUGAAAAUGAUUCACUUCUAAAUGGAUAAGUCAAGAUAUCACUGCUGCUGCUUAUACUUGAUACAAAGCUGCAGAAGCUGCUCUGAUGUUUCAUUUAUGGCUGCUACUUCUUCAUAUUUCAUUUUAUUGCAUAAUUGCUUAGCCUUUGACCUCAUUUCUUCUCCACUCCUCUACGAGCACUUUAUGUAUGGCGCUCGCUAAAUCUUCUUUCUUAAAAUAUCCAUUCUCGUCUCUUGUAACGUCCACCCCAAN